rnacentral:lncRNA from 1 species
UUGAAAUGCACUCUUUAUAUCACUAGAUGGCUACUGUAAAAAUCUUAGUGCAGGAAAUUUUACAUUUUUGUUGGUUUUCAAGCUAGCCAAGUUUGGUGGUGACACAUCGUUAAGUCGGGGUUAAUGGUUGCAAGGAUUUGGGAAAUUUUCAAAGUUUUGGUUUUUUCGAUUUGAUGGUGUGAAAGCACUCUUUAUAUCACCAAAUGGCUCUUCUAAAAAUCUUGUUGCAAGAAAUUUUUCAUUAUGGUUGGUUUUCAAGUUAGCCAAGUUUGGUGGUGAGAGUUGGCUAAGUCGUCGCAAGGUGCCAAGA